ACACUCGGGAUGGACAGAGCCUCUGCAGGGCUGCUCGGCUCCACACAGCAAUGCUGGCUCCAGCCCUCCAUCCGCUCCUGUGGCUGUUUGGCUGCGUGCUGCUCAGAGGUACUACAGCUGCCACCGGCUCCUCCAUCCACAAUGUCACAGAUCAACCUCAAUCAACAACACGCAACCAUGAAGUAGGGAACAAUACCUCAGAGCCUUCAGUGAAGUCAGCAGCACCAGCUGACCUCAGCCUCACCCACACGGACCAGACCACCACAGCCAAAUCCUCCUCCAUCUCUCCAACCCGGCUAACAUCAUCUGCACAGGAUGAAGAGUCCGGUGGAAGCAGAAACACAACAGCUCCAUCAGCUCCAGGUGAAGAGUCCAAGAGAAGUGAGAGUACUACAGCAGCAGCAACUCAAGGCACCUCAGGAACAGUUACCCCAGCACUGGAAAUCUCUGUCUCUUUGCCUGUGCCUACUCCAACAGAAUACGAGUCUCCGCUGACUGUGGUAGCUUUCGGUGUCAUCAGCUUCAUAGUCAUCCUGGUUGUGGUUGUGAUCAUCCUCGUCAGCGUGGUCAGCCUGAGGUUCAAGUGCAAUCGCUCCAAGGACUCAGAAGCCGCGAUGUUUUCUCACCUGUCCGUCACCAACUGCUUUUCUCCCUCCAGACAAACAGAAGCCAGGGAGCUCCAUGGUAUCAGAGGGCUGCUCUGCAGGCACAAGCGAGAAGGAUAACAGCAUCACUCUGAUCUCCAUGAAGAACAUCAAUAUGAACAACAGCAAGACUUACCCACCAUCAGAAAAGGUGCUAUGAAGCCAACAACCCAAAACUAGAAGCUGACACUUGAAUUUCUAGACUUUUUUUUUUCCUUUGGGGAAAGGACAAGGGUGGACUUUAUAUGUAAAUUAUUAUGCUCUUUCUGAUCAUUACACUUACAGUAGUUUCCCCAUCCGGGGGGGAUUAGGGCUUUCUCCAGCUACAGCCUGUCAUACUCAAUGGUUGAUAUCUAACUGCAUUUUUGAUAGGUUUUCAAACCCUCAGAUUACUCCAGCAGUGAGAAGUACGAAGGAACCAACUACUCAGCUAAAAACCUGCUGUCUUAGAUUAAUGGCCUUUACAGUCUGUACCAGACAGCCACAGCCUUGCCAGACAGUUAAUCAGCAUAGACCCCCAUUGAGCUAAACCUGUGCAUUAGAAAAGCACGGCCUGAAGCUGAAGGCCUAAUAGGACUUAAAUACCCAAGUGCUAGGUCAAAUCAUAGCACAGUUGCUCCAAGCCCCUUCUGCACAGAGUCAGGGUGACCAUGCCCCCCUACCUCACAGGGCCAUGGUGAGGAUAUGUUAACCAGUGUCUGUAAAGCAUUUGGAGAGCUGUGAAUUAAAGGUGCUGCUGAAAUGCAAAUGGCCAUUUUAAAUGCUUCAUUAUUAAUAUCUGAGCUUCAGGCAGAUGGGUCAGUAUCUUCCCACAAGUUCAACAUACAAUGAAGAAGAGUUAUCUGAAGUACAAAAGCAACCACUGCUUUGCCAGGACUUUGUCUGAGUGAUUAUAAGCAAAAUUCUGAGCUACUCCAAUUCCUGAAGUUCAGCAGCCUGAGUUUGCUGGAAGAGCUUCGGUCUUCUGUACUACUGCUUUCCCAGGGCUUCCCAGCAGACCAGGGAAGCAGACAUCCCCACUUCCAAGCACCCACACUACCGCAGCUACAAGCACCACAGAUGCAUCCCCACUGUGAUAAUGAGAACAGUGUUCUGCUAACCUGUGCAGUGCCACAGCUCACCCCAGGAACCGGCUGGCUCACGGCCCACGCUCCUCGGGCCCAGCUGCCAAUCACUACCUACCCACUGCAAAAUACAGCCCUAUCAGCUGAGCUACGGGCAUGAUGGAAUCAUCAAUACCCAGCUUCCACGUGACUGUAAUGGAAACAAGGCUCUAUUGGGAAGUUCUGGAGAUCUCAGCUGCGUAAUGCACUAAAGCACUAACUCUCCAACUGCUUUUGCCUCUGCCUGUCUUCGUGAGACUCCUGGCUUCAAGCUCUACCAGUUCCUGAGUCAGAGACCUUGGAGCACCUCAUUUACUCGGCAGCAGUAUGCUGAGAAACUGAUUUCUCCUACCACAAGCAUCAAAAUCUAUCAGCCCUGAAGGUAAAUUGUGAAAUCAAGGAAAAAGGAUUUAUCCAAGCAGGCAAAAUAGGUAUCACCGCACACAUUCCCCUGUACAGUCCAAUGAAACAUGUAAUUUAGCUUGAUCUAACUUUAUAGGAUGGAUACAAGAUGGUUACUGAAGCAUGCAGUGCUAAAGGUAGCUGUGCUUUGCAGCACACAGUGAAGUGCCCAGAGUAAUAAAUGCAAUGUUUUCACAACUCUAGUUAAGAUCAUUGCCGAUGGACUUUCUGUGUUUAACAUAUAUGCCAGCUAUUUUUACAAAUGGCUUGCUUUGUUUUGUUUUUAUUGAAGUUUUUCUGGUAAAAUUCUCAACGAAGUAAAACCCUACCUCCACCAGA